rnacentral:lncRNA from 1 species
AUGUGUGCAGUGUCACACUUACACUCCCAUCAGAAUCACUGGACUGGGGAGAGGAUCAUUUUCAGAGGAAAUCUGGGGAACAAAGGGUGGUCCUGCAGACCCCACACAUGCCUCCUACAUGUGAUCAUUCCAGGGGUGGCCAGUGAGGGCUCCCAUGUAGAAGUAUUUACAAGGGUAAAAGCCUGCUCAGAGGCCUUGGGGCUCCACCUGCCAGCCUCUUCCUUUGGAGCAAAACACUGUGGCUGCCAGGACCUGCGUCUCAGAAAACCCCAGGAAACUUCAAAGGGGCCUGUCCACCUCACUGGCUUUGAUCUCAGAAGGGGACUUGCUAAGAAGCAUGAUCAAAAGGAAAAUGGACGGUUCCAGAAAUGAGCAACAAAACAUGCUCCUGUCUUGCUCACCUGGACGUCGUAAGGACGAGAAGUGGAGGCUGUCAUGGAGCCAGGCUGGGGUCUUUGGAUACAAGAAUACUAUGAGGAUGGUGCUGACCCUAGGGCAUCAGGACCACAGGUGCCGUGUGUCUUUGCAAGCUGCUGCCCCUCUCUGGGCCCCAGUUUGAGCUUUUAUAAUAAUAACUGCCCUCACUCUCUCCUACUGCACAGUCACAUCACAUGCCAUGGCAUUCUGGGCCAGAUGGUCUUGGCAGAUCCUUUCCAGAUCAAUAUUUUAUGGAUCUAAGUUCCAGGAGCAAGAUGAUCAGUCAGAUGAGACAGAAUUCACACUUUAAAAUCAUUUCUAAAAGCCAGCUGUCCAGAUUCCAGAUUCUGGUAUGCGAGCAAAGAAAAGGAUGCUUCUUGAACAGGGAAAAAAACAGGCAUGAGCCCCAGUGAGGAUGGCAGGUGGGUUGCUGGGUCUUGAGUGACCUCAGCAGGCUUUCCUGGUGGCUUAGACGGUAAAGAAUCUGCCUGCAGUAUGGGAGACUUGGGUUUGAUCCGUGGGUUGGGAAGAUUCCCCUGGAGGAGAGCAUGGCUACCCACUCCAGUAUUCUUGCCUGGACUCCAUGGACAGAGGAACCUGGUGGGCUAUGGUCUAUGAGCUCGCAAAGUGUCAGACACGACUGAGUGACUUUCACUUUCACUUUGGCGAGUGGUUACCAGGUGGGAAGAGAGAAGGGGCAGCAAACACAGUUCCUUCCUUUAAGGCUCCUGACCUUGAGGACUGAGGGAGGGGCGAAGACAUUCGUGGGGAAUGCAGGUUGGGGGGCAGCACUGAGAACGGCACCCCUGGGGCAGUGGAAACGCCAAGGGCCGGGGAGCCAGGAGAGACUGGGGUGAGGGCAUGGGAUGAGGCUGUGACUGAUGGUGGGGGUGGCCUUGUCGGGGAGCACAGACCCUCUUCUGCCGCCUGAGGUGAGGAGGGUAAUGCAGGCGCAGCUGGGCCUUGAUUGUCUUGGCAAGUGGGAAUUGAGUUGUGCGUGAGAAGGGGAGGCAUGGUGGGUUUCUCAGCACAGCUGAGGGCCUGGCCCUGGAGGGACAGCGGGUCUGCCGGUGCCAGGACAUGCAGGGCAUGGAGACGGGGUGAGGAAGCAGACCUGCCACUUACGGGGCCUGGGCCUGGGAGGGGCUGGCGUGCCCCUGGCAGGUGGAGACUGGCCGCUGGGAGUUGGGGUCGAGGACCACACAGGCCCUCUGAAGCUGCGCAUGCUCCCUCCAGGUGCUCCCCAAACAUGCCUCUGGGGGUCUGCCUGACGUCCAGGGGCUAAGACCUCGCCUUCCUAUGCAGGGGGUAUGGGUUCCACUCCCGGUCGGGGAGCUGAGAUCCCACAUGCCUGGGGGCCAGAAAAUGAGAACAUUAACAACAGUGGUAAUAUUGUAGCAAAUUCAAUUAAGACCUUAAAAAAACAAAACAAAGCCCCCAUACUUCAGUUUCCAAGUCAUCCUCACAGUGGGAAUGCUGCAGUCUUCCCACAACAGGGCGGCUCACUCUCCAGGAGGUGCCAGAGUUGGAAGCAACCUCCUCACUCCUUCUAGAGGGUACAUGACUGCCCCGGGCCCCUCUUUCAGAAUGUGCUGUUAAUCACUCUGGACUUAGGAGUCUGAAUUCAGGGGAACAUUUACUAGCGUGUGGGAGAAACACAGGUUGGAAUAAAAGGAGAAAUUAGAUUUCCUUUGCA